CCCUACGGGGUGCAGCAGGCGAGAAAACUUUGCAAUGUGCGAAAGCACGACAAGGUUAAUCCGAGUGGUUUCUGCUAAAGGAACCUUUUGUCGGUCCUAGAAACACCGAUGAAUAAGGGGUGGGCAAGUUCUGGUGUCAGCCGCCGCGGUAAAACCAGCACCUCAAGUGGUCAGGAUGAUUAUUGGGCCUAAAGCAUCCGUAGCCGGCUCUGUAAGUUUUCGGUUAAAUCUGUACGCUUAACGUACAGGCUGCCGGGAAUACUGCAGAGCUAGGUAGUGGGAGAGGUAGACGGUACUCGGUGGAAAGGGGUAAAAUCCUUUGAUCUAUUGAUGACCACCUGUGGCGAAGGCGGUCUACCAGAACACGUACGACGGUGAGGGAUGAAAGCUGGGGGAGCAAACCGGAUUAGAUACCCGGGUAGUCCCAGCUGUAAACUAUGCAAACUCAGUGAUGCAUUGGCUUGUGGCCAAUGCAGUGCUGCAGGGAAGCCGUUAAGUUUGCCGCCUGGGAAGUACGUACGCAAGUAUGAAACUUAAAGGAAUUGGCGGGGGAGCACCACAAGGGGUGAAGCCUGCGGUUCAAUUGGAGUCAACGCCAGAAAUCUUACCCGGAGAGACAGCAGAAUGAAGGUCAAGCUGAAGACUUUACCAGACAAGCUGAGAAGUGGUGCAUGGCC
rnacentral:rRNA from 1 species